rnacentral:lncRNA from 1 species
CAGGUGAGAAACUCAGGCAGAAUUUGUUAUAUGGCAGAUGAAUGAGGAUGUUCCCCACCGGAGCUGUGAGCAGCCCGUGCCCCGGGCUGGGCUGGAGCCCCUAGUGGUGCCAGGAGCCCCAGGGAGGGCAGUGCCCGGGGCUGCCCGGCCUGGCAUCGCUGCCCAGGAGGCAGCACGUGCUCUGGGGCUGCUCCUGCCCGCUGGGAGCCGCAGGAGAGGAGUGAGGAGGAACCACGGGCAGCAGAGAGGCACAGACGGCCGCGGGCUGGCGGGCUGCCCUGCCCUGGCUGCACUAGAGCCCGUGAGUACAUGGGGCACAUGGGGAAAAGGGAGCCCCCCUGGCACCCCGGGCAAGCAGCAGGGCUGGGGGGCGGCUGGGGAGCUGGGAGCUGGGCAGUGAGGGUUUGCAAGGGAACACAGAGGGCACAGCAACAGGGGCUGCUGCAGCCUGGAGAGCCCCGAGCUGAGCUGGCACCGGAGCCAAGGUGAUGGCAGAGACCACAAAGUCCUGGCAGAAAUAUUAUCAAUUCCAUAUAGCUGCUCUGCUUUGCUUGGAACCACAUCAACCCUACCCGAAAAGGGACCUGUGGAGGGCAAGGACACACACAGGCUUUGAGGGGAGACUCAUCUCUGUGUUUAACGUGUGAUAUGACAGCUCUGAGCUGGCCGGCAUGCAGACAGCCACAUUGUCCCUUUAAAUCCCAGCACAGCGCUGGUGGCGGCUCACGAUAACCCCGGAUCACAGCAGCUCCCAAAUCCCAGCAGCUAAUUACAGGCACACGCCCCAGCCAGGCUGGGAACACGGGAUAUUUACAGCCUGUGACACCCAGAGCUCCUGCUGAGGAACUGGGGCACCGUGGAGGUUUGCUGGCAGGGCACAGGGGCAGGGGAUGGUUUGCACCCCACUGCCAUGCAAGCACUGUGGGCAGCCAUUCCCCGAGCUCCUUUGGGUGAGGGAGAUGGUUUUCCAGAGGGUUCUCUGCUCCCCCAGGCCGGUGCCAUCGCCCUGUGGUGGGGCAGGGGCAGGGGAAGGCAGGGGCACGUUUAGGCAGGAGCUGUUUGCCUUUCACCCCGUUGCUGGCAGGGAGCUCCCCAGCCAAAGCACACACACAUCUCUGGGAGAGGCUGGGAUCUGGCUCUGUUUGCUCUGCUCCCAGACUGCUGGGAAGCUCCCAGCCCUGCUGGCAGGGCAGUGUGGCUGCACUGAGGGACAGAACUGUGUCCCCUUCUCACACCCCCGUCGGGCUGGGGGACACUGUGUGACUGCCCCUUCACCCAGCCCAUGGGGCUGAGCCACAUCCCCACUGUCACUGCCUGGCCCCAGCUGGGUUUGUGGCAUCCCAUCCCAGCCCAGGCUGAGCUCCUGAGCAGCCCGGCCAGCCCCACAGCCUGCUGCUGCCUCCCCUCCGUGUGCAGGGCUAUAUUUGGGAAGGCAGCAGCGUGCUGGGCAUGUUCCAACGAGCGCCCUGGGAAUGGUGCCUGCGCUGGGUCCUGGAGGGCAGAGCUGGGGGAGCGCUGGCAGCUCUCCCCACCUGGGCCCUUUAAGAGCCUGGCUCGGAGCUCCCUGCCUUUUCCAAACAAUUCUCUCUUCUCCUUUUACAGGAGCGGGGCCGCCAGGCAGGCGUGUGCAAAGCAGACAGGGUUAUUUUGGGACUGAAGCCGCUGAGGAAGCUGCUCCCACCCCACGUACAGCCCAGACUCCCACACACCAGUGCCCUGGCACAUCCAAGGGGCUGGGAGAAACUCAGCAAACACUGAGUUUCACACAGUGGGCAGCCACCACCAGCACUGCCCUUGGUGCAAGGUGUGCUCUGUGAACACUGGCAUUAAUAAAAAAAAAAAUAUGGAGGCUGGGAUUAAGAAA